rnacentral:rRNA from 1 species
GGGGAAUAUUGGACAAUGGGCGCAAGCCUGAUCCAGCCAUGCCGCGUGUGUGAUGAAGGCCUUAGGGUUGUAAAGCACUUUCACCGAUGAAGAUAAUGACGGUAGUCGGAGAAGAAGCCCCGGCUAACUUCGUGCCAGCAGCCGCGGUAAUACGAAGGGGGCUAGCGUUGUUCGGAAUUACUGGGCGUAAAGCGCGCGUAGGCGGAUAAUUAAGUCGAGGGUGAAAUCCCAGGGCUCAACCCUGGAACUGCCUUCGAUACUGGUUGUCUAGAGUAUGGAAGAGGUGAGUGGAAUUCCGAGUGUAGAGGUGAAAUUCGUAGAUAUUCGGAGGAACACCAGUGGCGAAGGCGGCUCACUGGUCCAUUACUGACGCUGAGGUGCGAAAGCGUGGGGAGCAAAC